UAUUAUGGUUAUGUUGUUAAAAAAAACAGCCCUCAAGCAGGGUCGGGCCUGGUUAGUACUUGGAUGGAAGACCACCUAGGAAGACCAGGUGCUGUAGGUG
rnacentral:rRNA from 1 species